AUUGAACGCUAGCGGGAUGCCUUACACACGCAAGUCGAACGGCAGCACGGACUUCGGUCUGGUGGCGAGUGGCGAACGGGUGAGUAAAGUAUCGGAACGUGCCCAGUAGAGGGGGAUAACUACGCGAAAGCGUAGCUAAUACCGCAUACGCCCUGAGGGGGAAAGCGGGGGAUCGCAAGACCUCGCGGUAUUGGAGCGGCCGAUAUCGGAUUAGCUAGUUGGUAGGGUAAAGGACUACCAAGGCGACGAUCCGUAGCUGGUUUGAGAGGACGACCAGCCACACUGGGACUGAGACACGGCCCAGACUCCUACGGGAGGCAGCAGUGGGGAAUUUUGGACAAUGGGGGCAACCCUGAUCCAGCCAUUUCGCGUGUGCGAUGAAGGCCUUCGGGUCGUAAAGCACUUUUGGCAGGGAAGAAAAGGUUUGGGCUAAUACCCUGAGCCGCUGACGGUACCUGCAGAAUAAGCACCGGCUAACUACGUGCCAGCAGCCGCCGUAA
rnacentral:rRNA from 1 species